rnacentral:rRNA from 1 species
GAGUUUGAUCAUGGCUCAGAUUGAACGCUGGCGGCAUGCCUUACACAUGCAAGCCGAACGGCAGCAUGAUCUAGCUUGCUAGAUUGAUGGCGAGUGGCGAACGGAUGAGUAAUACAUCGGAACGUGCCCUGUAGUGGGGGAUAACUAGUCGAAAGAUUAGCUAAUACCGCAUACGACCUGAGGGUGAAAGUGGGGACCGCAAGGCCUCAUGCUAUAGGAGCGGCCGAUGUCUGAUUAGCUAGUUGGUGGGGUAAAGGCCCACCAAGGCGACGAUCAGUAGCUGGUCUGAGAGGACGAUCAGCCACACUGGGACUGAGACACGGCCCAGACUCCUACGGGAGGCAGCAGUGGGAAUUUUGGACAAUGGCGAAAGCCUGAUCCAGCAAUGCCGCGUGUGUGAAGAAGGCCU